GUGGGGAAUAUUGGACAAUGGGCGCAAGCCUGAUCCAGCAAUGCCGCGUGAGUGAUGAAGGCCUUCGGGUUGUAAAGCUCUUUCGCACGCGACGAUGAUGACGGUAGCGUGAGAAGAAGCCCCGGCUAACUUCGUGCCAGCAGCCGCGGUAAUACGAAGGGGGCUAGCGUUGUUCGGAAUUACUGGGCGUAAAGGGCGCGUAGGCGGUACUUCAAGUCAGGCGUGAAAGCCCCGGGCUCAACCUGGGAACCGCGCUUGAGACUGGAGAACUAGAGUUCGGGAGAGGAUGGUGGAAUUCCCAGUGUAGAGGUGAAAUUCGUAGAUAUUGGGAAGAACACCGAUGGCGAAGGCAGCCAUCUGGACCGACACUGACGCUGAGGCGCGAAAGCGUGGGGAGCAAACAGGA
rnacentral:rRNA from 1 species